CUGACUGGUAAUGCAGGGGUCCCGGGUUCGAUUCCCGGUCCAGCCAAAGAUUUUCUCCUCUCUCCUAUAUAACAACAGUUAAGAAGUUAAGAGCCAUUCUCUGUAACCACUUAAAAAAAUUCGGCACGCAUAGUCACCGAUUUUCACGAAACUCACCUGAAUGAAAAAUCUAUAUAACAUAUUCAAGAAAAUAUAUUUAAAAAUUAGAUAGUGAUCAUGGUUGCUAUGGAAACAGGUACAAUUUUAUCAAGUUUGGCCAUUUUCUAGAAUUUGGUAGUUUUGGCACAAAAGUUGAAUAUAAAAGAUUAUGAAUAGUCUUAAAAUUCUAAUUUUCAAAUUAAAUUAUAAAACAGAUCCCAUAUUUGUCAUUUAAGAAAAAAAAAGAAUGGACAAUCCUAACUGAUUUUUAUAAUUGAAGAAAUCUGUAAAAUUGUGUUUAAAUUCAAUGGUUUUUAUGUCUUAAUAACUUUUAUUCGCAUCCACCUCAAAUAAAGUGACACAAGUUUUUAAAACAACUAAUCUAUGUUCUUCAUAAAUCUAAACUAAAACUUUUGGGAAUCUGCCUAUUUCAUACAAUUUGAAGUGAAUGAUUUAUGGGGGGAAAUGCAUUCUGUAACCAAGAGUUAUUCCCCUUUGAAACUCUUCAACGUGAUAAGGCUGUGAAAUUACAUAGAAACACAUAUAAUAUGGCUGGAUAAUGUCUUACUGCAUGCUGACAGAAGUUUAGACGAAGACAUGUGGCAUUCAAAAUAUUCUCUCCACUCACCCACACAAAAGAAGAAGGUGUGAGAGACAUAUCUCCGAGUACCAGCGUUCUAGUAAUACAGGAAGUGUCAUAUUGUCAUUUUGGUGGGGGCCAAGUCAGAAGCAUCAGUGUAUGUUCGAUGCUUAUGUUGCCUCAAAGGAUAUGAUAGGGUGUGGUUCAUUUAACCGGAAAGAAUUUCUAUCAGGACAGCAGAUCACAUUAUAUUUUAGUUGCCUCUAUGCCAUUGAGAAGACGAUUAGCCAUGAUGACUAUAUAUGCGCAAAAUUAGAAAAUGAAAAAGAUUGUGUGUGCUUAUCUUGUCUAUUUUGUAAUAUAUUAUUCUAAAAUAAAGGUAUACCAUUUAUAAUAGGAUACGAUUAUGAAAUAUUUAUCAUCGGAACUCACUGUUCAAAGGCCGUAAUUAAGCGCCGAGCAUAGGCCUAAAUUUUGCAACCCUCACUGACAAUGGUGACGUCUCCAUAUGAGUGAAAAAUUCUUCGGCGGUACGUUAAAUGAUAAUCAAUAAAUCAACCCAUGGGUUCCAACGAUGUCAGAUAUUAAAGAUAUUGACUUUCCCAGCAUACUAAAUGACUUCAAUAUGAACAUCAUUGGUAUGUUACAGUUACAAGCAAGGUCUUCUUAUGAUGUUGAAAUAUAAUUCACAUACCUAUGUUUAAAAAGAUACGUUAAACGAGUGACCAUGAUGAACGUCCAUACUCUAGAAAACAGAGGCCCUCAAUUGUUUUUAAUCAAAUGCCAAGGUCACGAGUCAAGGUCAAAAUACUUCCUCAUAAGUAACUGUAAAUUGUCAAGUCAUGUAAUAAACAAUGUUAGUUUAAUAGAUUUCAUACAUGGUACUGGCAUAACAUUUCUUGCACAUACAUAGUAAGCAGAGCUAAUAUUGAACUGCAUAGAAGGGGGGGGGGGGGGGGGGGGGGGGUAAUUCCUCAUGAAUCAAUGGUAAAUUACAAUCUUUAUGUAUCUUAUUUAGUUUAUUUAACUUGAACAAUUUUUAAGAUCAAUGAUUCAAUUUCAAUGUCACACUUAAUUCGAUUGGCAAGGUGAAAAAAUGUACAUGAUAGUUUGAAAUAACUGAAAUAUUCAAAUAUGCAUUUUCUAGAUAUGGUAGUUAUUUUGAUGAAUUCUUAAGAUAUACAUUUGCAAUUUGUGAUACAUGUACAAUACACAAAUAGAAAUCAUGCACAUUUGAAGAAAAAAAAAAGAAAAAAACCAAAAACUAUGCAUUGAUUUAAUUAUCUGUUACAAAUUAAGAUUGUUUAUGAUUGAAGAACAUGCAUGAUGUAUAACAAAAUGAGAUUUACUUGAAAAGAAUGUGAACAUCAAGUUUGCUGUUUUAUGAUAUUUUGUUACCAUAGCAACAAUGUAAUAUGAAUUAUCUAUCAGUAUUAAUAUUUUAUCAACUAUAACAUUGACUUCAGUUGAAUCUGUCUAUAAAAGCAUUUUUUUGGGGGUCUAAAAAUUUAUUUAUUUUGCAUGGAUUUCGAAUUUGAAAAGAAAUAGCAAUUUUCGUUUCCAUGGCAACCAACAUGAAUUCUCAUAUUACACUUGUUAAAAUUUAAAAUCUAACAUCAGUAGCAAUCGGUUAUUAAGAUUAUAUACUUUGAAUACAUAGAAAAUUGUAUUUUGAAUUACAUUGAAAAUUGCAUCUCUACUGUCAUAUCAUGACGAAAUGCAUAAUUUUGUUUCCAUGGAAACACAGCUUAGAUGGUAGAUUCCCAAACAUGUCUCAUUGUUAUAUGAUAGUACUAUAUCUAAUGUAUGUUGUACAAGCAUUUAUAGAUUUCAAGCUGAAUGCGGGAAUUUUUAUCCAUCAUUCAAAUUUACCUCUAAAUUAGCUUUUUCAGAAUGUAUCAAACAACCCUCUUUUCCAGACAGAAUGAAAAUAUAACAGAAUUAUUCAAACCUUUAACUAAAUAUCAAACUAAAUAAUAAAAAUGCUAUAUAGUAUCAUUUGAUAAUGAUUAAAUAAGAACUCAAACAGGUUAAUCCAGUAUAGUUGAAUGAAAAAUGUCAUUUUUCAUGCGAAAAUUGACUCUUUUGUGACCUGAAUGGCAUGCACGUGUUACCAUGGCAAAUGAGUUGCAUAGCAACCAAAUUAUGAUGGUUUUACAUUACUUAUGCCAGAUUAAGUCGAUGUGCCAAAUUUGAAAAAAAUCGGUGACAGUGCGUGCCGGACCCCUUAUAUAAAUGUUAAAGUGGUUACAGAGAAUGACUCUUAAUAUCUUCAACCAUUGAUAAUUUAGCAAAACGAAGGUGAUAUACACGCCAUUGUCCAUAGAGUAGGUCUAC